rnacentral:rRNA from 2 species
GGGGGGUCCUAUCUGCAAGUCGAGCGGACAGAUGAGGAGCUUGCUCCUCUGAUGUUAGCGGCGGACGGGUGAGUAACACGUGGGCAACCUACCUGUAAGACGGGGAUAACUCCGGGAAACCGGAGCUAAUACCGGAUAAUAAAGAGAAACGCCUGUUUCUUUUUUGAAAGUCGGUUUCGGCUGACACUUACAGAUGGGCCCGCGGCGCAUUAGCUAGUUGGUGAGGUAACGGCUCACCAAGGCGACGAUGCGUAGCCGACCUGAGAGGGUGAUCGGCCACACUGGGACUGAGACACGGCCCAGACUCCUACGGGAGGCAGCAGUAGGGAAUCUUCGGCAAUGGACGAAAGUCUGACCGAGCAACGCCGCGUGAGCGAUGAAGGCCUUCGGGUCGUAAAGCUCUGUUGUCAGGGAAGAACAAGUACCGGAGUAACUGCCGGUACCUUGACGGUACCUGACCAGAAAGCCACGGCUAACUACGUGCCAGCAGCCGCGGUAAUACGUAGGUGGCAAGCGUUGUCCGGAAUUAUUGGGCGUAAAGCGCGCGCAGGCGGUUCUUUAAGUCUGAUGUGAAAGCCCACGGCUCAACCGUGGAGGGUCAUUGGAAACUGGGGAACUUGAGUGCAGGAGAGAAAAGUGGAAUUCCACGUGUAGCGGUGAAAUGCGUAGAGAUGUGGAGGAACACCAGUGGCGAAGGCGGCUUUUUGGCCUGUAACUGACGCUGAGGCGCGAAAGCGUGGGGAGCAAACAGGAUUAGAUACCCUGGUAGUCCACGCCGUAAACGAUGAGUGCUAGGUGUUGGGGGGUUCCACCCUCAGUGCUGACGUUAACACAUUAAGCACUCCGCCUGGGGAGUACGGCCGCAAGGCUGAAACUCAAAGGAAUUGACGGGGGCCCGCACAAGCAGUGGAGCAUGUGGUUUAAUUCGAAGCAACGCGAGAACCUUACCAGGUCUUGACAUCUCUGACCACUUGAGAGAUCAAGCUUUCCCCUUCGGGGGACAGAGUGACAGGUGGUGCAUGGUGUCGUCAGCUCGUGUCGUGAGAUGUUGGAUAGUUCCGCAACGAGGCGCAUCCUUGACUUAGUGUCAGCAUUCAGUGGGCACUCUAAGUGACUGCCGUGAUACCGAGAAGGUGGGGAUGACGUCAUCAUCAUGGCCUAGACUUGGCUACACGUCUACAAUGGGUGG